rnacentral:rRNA from 1 species
CUGAGGGUGAAAGCGGGGGAUCGCGAGACCUCGCGCUGGAAGAGCGGCCGAUGUCCGAUUAGCUAGUUGGUGAGGUAAAGGCUCACCAAGGCGACGAUCGGUAGCUGGUCUGAGAGGACGACCAGCCACACUGGGACUGAGACACGGCCCAGACUCCUACGGGAGGCAGCAGUGGGGAAUUUUGGACAAUGGGGGCAACCCUGAUCCAGCCAUGCCGCGAGCAGGAUGAAGGUCUUCGGAUUGUAAACUGCUUUUGUCAGGGACGAAAAGGGAUGCGAUAACACCGCAUUCCGCAGACGGUACCUGAAGAAUAAGCACCGGCAAUUACGGU